rnacentral:rRNA from 1 species
ACAGGUGGUGCAUGGUUGUCGUCAGCUCGUGUCGUGAGAUGUUGGGUUAAGUCCCGCAACGAGCGCAACCCUCGUCGCAUGUUGCCAGCACGUUAUGGUGGGGACUCAUGUGAGACUGCCGGGGUCAACUCGGAGGAAGGUGGGGAUGACGUCAAAUCAUCAUGCCCCUUAUGUCUUGGGCUUCACGCAUGCUACAAUGGCCGGUACAAAGGGCUGCGAUGUCGUAAGGCGGAGCGAAUCCCAAAAAGCCGGUCUCAGUUCGGAUUGAGGUCUGCAACUCGACCUCAUGAAGUCGGAGUCGCUAGUAAUCGCAGAUCAGCAACGCUGCGGUGAAUACGUUCCCGGGCCUUGUACACACCGCCCGUCAAGUCAUGAAAGUCGGUAACACCCGAAGCCGGUGGCCUAACCCUUGUGGAGGGAGCCGUCGAAGGUGGGAUCGGUGAUUAGGACUAAGUCGUAACAAGGUAGCCGUACCGGAAGGUGCGGCUGGAUCACCUCCUUU